rnacentral:rRNA from 1 species
UAGGGAAUCUUCGGCAAUGGGGGGAACCCUGACCGAGCAACGCCGCGUGAGUGAAGAAGGUUUUCGUAUCGUAAAGCUCUGUUGUUAAGGAAGAACGAGUGUGAGAAUGGAAAGUUCAUACUGUGACGGUACUUAACCAGAAAGGGACGGCUAACUACGUGCCAGCAGCCGCGGUAAUACGUAGGUCCCGAGCGUUGUCCGGAUUUAUUGGGCGUAAAGCGAGGGCAGGCGGUUAGAUAAGUCUGAAGUUAAAGGCAGUGGAACAACCAUGGUAGGCUUUGGAAACUGUGUAACUUGAGUGGAGGAGGGGAGAGAGGAAUUCCGUGUGUAGCGGUGAAAUGCGUAGAUAUAUGGAGGAACACCGGUGGCGAAAGCGGCUCUCUGGGCUGUAACUGACGCUGAGGCUCGAGAGCGUGGGGAGAGAACAGG